rnacentral:rRNA from 1 species
AGAGUUUGAUCCUGGCUCAGGACGAACGCUGGCGGCGUGCCUAAUACAUGCAAGUCGAGCGGACAGAUGGGAGCUUGCUCCCUGAUGUUAGCGGCGGACGGGUGAGUAACACGUGGGUAACCUGCCUGUAAGACUGGGAUAACUCCGGGAAACCGGGGCUAAUACCGGAUGGUUGUUUGAACCGCAUGGUUCAAACAUAAAAGGUGGCUUCGGCUACCACUUGCAGAUGGACCCGCGGCGCAUUAGCUAGUUGGUGAGGUAAUGGCUCACCAAGGCAACGAUGCGUAGCCGACCUGAGAGGGUGAUCGGCCACACUGGGACUGAGACACGGCCCAGACUCCUACGGGAGGCAGCAGUAGGGAAUCUUCCGCAAUGGACGAAAGUCUGACGGAGCAACGCCGCGUGAGUGAUGAAGGUUUUCGGAUCGUAAAGCUCUGUUGUUAGGGAAGAACAAGUGCCGUUCGAAUAGGGCGGUACCUUGACGGUACCUAACCAGAAAGCCACGGCUAACUACGUGCCAGCAGCCGCGGUAAUACGUAGGUGGCAAGCGUUGUCCGGAAUUAUUGGGCGUAAAGGGCUCGCAGGCGGUUUCUUAAGUCUGAUGUGAAAGCCCCCGGCUCAACCGGGGAGGGUCAUUGGAAACUGGGGAACUUGAGUGCAGAAGAGGAGAGUGGAAUUCCACGUGUAGCGGUGAAAUGCGUAGAGAUGUGGAGGAACACCAGUGGCGAAGGCGACUCUCUGGUCUGUAACUGACGCUGAGGAGCGAAAGCGUGGGGAGCGAACAGGAUUAGAUACCCUGGUAGUCCACGCCGUAAACGAUGAGUGCUAAGUGUUAGGGGGUUUCCGCCCCUUAGUGCUGCAGCUAACGCAUUAAGCACUCCGCCUGGGGAGUACGGUCGCAAGACUGAAACUCAAAGGAAUUGACGGGGGCCCGCACAAGCGGUGGAGCAUAUGGUUUAAUUCGAAGCAACGCGAAGAACCUUACCAGGUCUUGACAUCCUCUGACAAUCCUAGAGAUAGGACGUCCCCUUCGGGGGCAGAGUGACAGGUGGUGCAUGGUUGUCGUCAGCUCGUGUCGUGAGAUGUUGGGUUAAGUCCCGCAACGAGCGCAACCCUUGAUCUUAGUUGCCAGCAUUCAGUUGGGCACUCUAAGGUGACUGCCGGUGACAAACCGGAGGAAGGUGGGGAUGACGUCAAAUCAUCAUGCCCCUUAUGACCUGGGCUACACACGUGCUACAAUGGACAGAACAAAGGGCAGCGAAACCGCGAGGUUAAGCCAAUCCCACAAAUCUGUUCUCAGUUCGGAUCGCAGUCUGCAACUCGACUGCGUGAAGCUGGAAUCGCUAGUAAUCGCGGAUCAGCAUGCCGCGGUGAAUACGUUCCCGGGCCUUGUACACACCGCCCGUCACACCACGAGAGUUUGUAACACCCGAAGUCGGUGAGGUAACCUUUUAGGAGCCAGCCGCCGAAGGUGGGACAGAUGAUUGGGGUGAAGUCGAAACAAGGUA